GGAGGCAGCAGUAGGGAAUCUUCCGCAAUGGACGAAAGUCUGACGGAGCAACGCCGCGUGAACGAAGAAGGCCUUCGGGUCGUAAAGUUCUGUUGUUAGGGAAGAACAAGUACCAGAGUAACUGCUGGUACCUUGACGGUACCUAACCAGAAAGCCACGGCUAACUACGUGCCAGCAGCCGCGGUAAUUCGUAGGUGGCAAGCGUUGUCCGGAAUUAUUGGGCGUAAAGCGCGCGCAGGUGGUUCUUUAAGUUUGAUGUGAAAGCCCACGGCUCAACCGUGGAGGGUCAUUGGAAACUGGGGAACUUGAGUGCAGAAGAGGAAAGUGGAAUUCCAAGUGUAGCGGUGAAAUGCGUAGAGAUUUGGAGGAACACCAGUGGCGAAGGCGACUUUCUGGUCUGUAACUGACACUGAGGCGCGAAAGCGUGGGGAGCAAACAGGAUUAGAUACCCUGGUAGUCCACGCCGUAAACGAUGAGUGCU
rnacentral:rRNA from 1 species